rnacentral:tRNA from 1 species
AGCUCAGCCGGACAGAGCAAUUGCCUUCUAAGCAAUCGGUCACUGGUUCGAAUCCAGUA